rnacentral:rRNA from 1 species
UACGUAGGUGGCGAACGUUGUUCGGAAUUACUGGGCGUAAAGCGCGCGCAGGCGGUCUUCCAAGUCAGUGGUGAAAGCCCGGAGCUCAACUCCGGAACUGCCAUUGAAACUGUAAGACUUGAGGAUGAGAGAGGUGAGUGGAAUUCCCAGUGUAGAGGUGAAAUUCGUAGAUAUUGGGAAGAACACCGGUGGCGAAGGCGGCUCACUGGCUCAUAUCUGACGCUCAGGCGCGACAGCGUGGGGAUCAAACAGG